UACGUAGGGCGCAAGCGUUAUCCGGAAUUAUUGGGCGUAAAGAGCUCGUAGGCGGUUUGUCGCGUCUGCCGUGAAAAUCCGGGGCUCAACCCCGGACUUGCAGUGGGUACGGGCAGACUAGAGGUAGGUAGGGGAGAAUGGAAUUCCUGGUGUAGCGGUGAAAUGCGCAGGUAUCAGGAGGAACACCGGUGGCGAAGGCGGUUCUCUGGGCCUUACCUGACACUGAGGAGCGAAAGCGUGGGGAGCGAACAGG
rnacentral:rRNA from 1 species